CGGUGAUGGAAGCGUUGUUUUCUUGAACCGUCGACGCUAUCCUAGAUCGUGUUGCUGGACGCGCUCCUCUUCCCCUGAAGGCUGUGUACUUGUCUCCCGUAGAUUUUCCAUUUUUUGCCUCAUAUGAUGUAUAUUUCUACAAUCUUCUGUGUUGUGGUAUGGAGACUGAUGUACUGUACUCCAUUUAUUCGGAGUGCCUGUAGUGUUUGGAGACAUUUUAUUUCCUGUGUAAUGUCCCUUUGGAGUUUUUGGUUUAGCAGGACUAUCUGAAAUUUUAAGGUCCUGCGAGGAUUCUUUUCUUUGAUCUUGCUUCUGGCUGGCUGGGGACUUAUCUGCUUGUCCUGCAAACCAGCAUUUUUCUGUGGAAUGUCCCUUACGUUUGCAGACUGCAAAAAUGUAUCUUUUUGGGUUUGGUUCCCAUGACAGACUGUGGUUGCUCCUUGAAGCUGGUGACUGGUGCCACUGAGAUCGCCCUAGGAAUAUUUUCCUUGGGUUCCGCAAUUUCUUCUACGUGUUCUACAAGUUUAGUCCCUUUUUUAACUCUUUCUUUUGGGCUUUCGUGCGUAAGGGUUCAUUUGAUGACAAGAUAAACUGAAGGAGUUCAAUAAUCCUGUAGAAAUUUACUUUAGACAUGUCAUUUUUAUCGAUCCAAUCUGAGGAAUCCAUGUAAGAUCUGAGAUCUAUCUUAGUGAGUCCCGAACAAAUUUGGGCUUCUUGUGCUUCAUGUGUAAGCAGAGUUGCACCUGUCCUCUCUGCCAUCUUAAAAAUCCAAUUAAGUGGACCUCCUUUGGAGCCCUUUCCAAAAAAUAAAUGAAUUGCUGCCUUAAUGUUGGAUAAUCAUCCGUUUCUUCGUCAAUGGCUGAAGCAAAGAUACCUCUAGCUGCACGACUACCUGUUUUGAUAAGGCUUCAUACUUAUGAAAUUUUAUCUAUGUCAUUGGUGACAUCGUUAUUUCUCAUUACAUCUUCGCAUUUACUCAAAAAUGCUAAACUAGUAUAAUCACUGUACCGGUAUAAAAGAAAGACCUACUGUAUUUUCACUAUAAUAAAAUACAACAUUGCAUGUAAGUUAAGUAUAUUGUCUUCAAUGUCUGUGGCAAACUAAUAAUAAUUUUUUAAUUAGUAAAUUAAUUAAUUAAUUAAUUAUUAACACAAUUUAUAAAUCUGACAUUGUACACUACACCAAAAAUAAAGUUGAAAGAGGCUGUUAGUCUAAAAUAUCAAGGCUGUAUCUAUACAAUGUGUGUGCCUUAGUUUGUUUAAAAUUCAGCUUAAAUAACUAAGCACCACUAUGGGGAGGUCUGUGUCCCACCACUUAUGUUAUUGGGACUACACCACUGACUGUAUCAAAGAGCCUAACCUAACCUAACCAAGAAAACCAUCAGAUGAAAUUUUCCUGUAAGCUCGUUGAUAAUUAUGAUUUUAUUUACAUGUGUUUAAUAUUCUGCAGGUGUUGAUAGUCAUGCCGACAGUCACAAGAUUCAUGACGGUGGAUGAACUGACCCUGGAGGAGGUGAAGACCUUACAGCCUCCGGACACCCAACAUUGUCUUGUCAGCCAGGCCGAGACUGGCAUACAACCCAAUACUAGGGUGUUCAUUGGUAAAAUAGAGGAGAACUUGCGACCAUACAAGAAGGGAAGUGUCACCA